AUACGUAGGGGGCGAGCGUUAUCCGGAAUUAUUGGGCGUAAAGAGUGCGUAGGUGGUUACCUAAGCAGGGGGUGAAAGGCACUGGCCUAACCAAUGUCAGCCCCCUGAACUGGGCUACUUGAGUGCAGGAGAGGGAAGUGGAAUUCCUAGUGUAGCGGUGAAAUGCGUAGAUAUUAGGAGGAACACCGGCGGCGAAGGCGACGUUCUGGACGGUUACUGACACUGAGGCACGAAAGUGUGGGGAGCAAACAGGAUUAGAUACCCUGGUAGUCCACACCGUAAACGAUGAGCACUGGGUGUCGGGUAAGCAAUUACUCGGUGCCGCAGUUAACGCAUUAAGUGCUCCGCCUGGGGAGUACGUACGCAAGUAUGAAACUCAAAUGAAUUGACGGGG
rnacentral:rRNA from 1 species